CCUACAAUUCAUUUGAGUUUGUGGAUUAGCACAGGGCCUCCAGUUAAUUAAUCCAUGUCUGCCCAUGCGUUGUAAAGGUAACACAUGUAAUUCUGCAACAACUGCUGCCUACCGUAUGAAGGGUGAAUUCCAGCACACUGGACGCCGCUACAAGAGUAUCCAACCUCUAAAUCCAUGUCGGCAUACUCAUGAACAUAUAUGUUUCCAGAGUUAAUCGGAAUUACUGGGCGUAAAGCGUGCGCAGGCGGUUGUGUAAGACAGAUGUGAAAUCCCCGGGCUCAACCUGGGAACUGCAUUUGUGACUGCACGGCUCGAGUACGGCAGAGGGGGAUGGAAUUCCGCGUGUAGCAGUGAAAUGCGUAGAUAUGCGGAGGAACACCGAUGGCGAAGGCAGCCCCCUGGGCCUGUACUGACGCUCAUGCACGAAAGCGUGGGGAGCAAACAGGAUUAGAUACCCUGGUAGUCCACGCCCUAAACGAUGUCAACUGGUUGUUGGGUGGGUUUCUACUCAGUAACGAAGCUAACGCGUGAAGUUGACCGCCUGGGGAGUACGGCCGCAAGGUUGAAACUCAAAUGAAUUGACGG
rnacentral:rRNA from 1 species